rnacentral:rRNA from 1 species
GUGGGGAAUAUUGGACAAUGGGCGAAAGCCUGAUCCAGCCAUGCCGCGUGUGUGAAGAAGGUCUUCGGAUUGUAAAGCACUUUAAGUUGGGAGGAAGGGCAGUAAGUUAAUACCUUGCUGUUUUGACGUUACCGACAGAAUAAGCACCCGCUAACUUCGUGCCAGCAGCCGCGGUAAUACGAAGGGUGCAAGCGUUAAUCGGAAUUACUGGGCGUAAAGCGCGCGUAGGUGGUUUUGUAAGUUGGAGGUGAAAUCCCCGGGCUCAACCUGGGAACUGCCUCCAAAACUGCAUGACUAGAGUACGGUAGAGGGUAGUGGAAUUUCCUGUGUAGCAGUGAAAUGCGUAGAUAUAGGAAGGAACACCAGUGGCGAAGGCGACUACCUGGACUGAUACUGACACUGAGGUGCGAAAGCGUGGGGAGCAAACAGGAUUAGAUACCCGGGUAGUCC